GACGAACGCUGGCGGCGUGCUUAACACAUGCAAGUCGAACGGAGCGAAUGAAAGCUUGCUUUUAUGAGCUUAGUGGCAAACGGGUGAGUAACACGUAGACAACCUGCCGAUCAGAUGGGGACAACAUUCCGAAAGGAAUGCUAAUACCGAAUGGCGUGUAGGGGAGGCAUCUUCCCUACAUGAAAGAUGGCCUCUAUAUAUAAGCUAUCACUGAUCGAUGGGUCUGCGUCUGAUUAGCUAGUAGGUAAGGUAACGGCUUACCUAGGCGACGAUCAGUAGCCGGUCUGAGAGGAUGAACGGCCACAUUGGGACUGAGACACGGCCCAGACUCCUACGGGAGGCAGCAGUGGGGAAUCUUCCGCAAUGGGCGCAAGCCUGACGGAGCAACGCCGCGUGAGUGAAGAAGGUCUUCGGAUCGUAAAGCUCUGUUGAAGGGGACGAACGUAUAUAGUGCGAAUAGUGCUGUGUAAUGACGUACCUUGAGA
rnacentral:rRNA from 1 species